AUAAGGACGAACAGCUCAGUAGAACGACGAUGAUUUAGUCUCUCUGCUAGCGAUAACUACGUGAAAAUGUAGCUAAGAGAGGAGAGAAUAAGACGUAGGACUAUCAGUUAGUUGGUAGUGUAAUGGACUACCAAGACGAUGACGGGUAACGGGGAAUCAGGGUUUGAUACCGGAGAGGGAGCCUGAGAGAUAGCUCCCACGUCCAUGGACGGCAGCAGGCGCGAAAAUUGCCCACUCUUUGUAGGAGGCAGUUAUGAGACGUGAAGAUGAAUAUUCAGCAAAGAUGAAUAGGAGAAUUGGAGGGCAAGUUUGGUGCCAGCCGCCGCGGUAAUACCGACUCCAAGAGUGUGUAUGAGAGAUGCUGCAGUUAAAAAGUCCGUAGUCAUAGAAAAGUAAAGAGGGAUGUGAAGUCUCUUUAAUUAGGAAUAGAAAAGCCGAUGGGGAACAUAGUAUACCAGGGCGAGAGAUGAAAUGCCAAGACCCCUGGUGGACUGAGCGAGGCGAAAGCGAUGUUCUUGUAGGUGUUUGAUGAUCAAGGACGAAGGCUGGAGUAUCGAAAGUGAUUAGAUACCGCAGUAGUUCCAGCAGUAAAAGAUGCCGACGUGUUCAUUGGCAACAGUGGACAGGGAGAAAUCUUAGAGUUCGGGCUCUGGGGAUAGUAUGCUCGCAAGAGUGAAAAUUAAAGAAAUUGACGGAGCUACACCACAAGGAGUGGAUUGUGCGGCUUAAUUUGACUCAACGCGGGACAGCUUACCAA
rnacentral:rRNA from 1 species